CUCUUGACACAAUCGGUGGCUCCUGUCUCCUGCUCCUGAAUAUGCUCAGGAAACAAUCGAAACUGAAACCGAAACCUCUCAAAGAACAAGACAAAAUACACAAUUCAGAAUAAGAUCUUCGCCCAAAGAGAGAGUAAAGGGGAGUUGGAGAUCGGAGAUCGGAGAUCGGAGAACACGAACAUAUACUUUGGGAAUGCUCGUGAGGGGGCUGUGAGACAAUGGAUAUUAAUCAAUUGCCGAUAAUGCUGUCCGUCCGUCGAGCGGCAGACAAGAGUUUUGAAUAAAAACUCAAAGAUGCAGACGAAGAGGUGUGUGUGGCACUGUGUGCCGUGCCCCGAGGAUGUGUCACAGUCACACUUUUGUUGUUAAUUGAACGUGGCAUGCAUGCCCCUGCCCACAGCUCAAGUGGCAUCCACACUAAUGCCGGAUUCAUGCUAAGUGGUAUGGCAAACGAUCUGGUUGAAACGCUGUCAUUGGACCUUGCCGUGAGUUGCCAUCUCUUCCGGCAAUUGAUUAAUCAUUGAGUCUGCAGCACGACACGUCGAUGCGAUGCACUUUGACGCCCCUGAAUCUGAGCCGAUAGCAAAAGUAUCCAGACAGUGUUUCCUCUCCGAUAUCCCCACUUCUUCAGCACAGAUGGCUUUAAGUAAUCCCGCAAUAUUGGCUUACUCUUCAUUUAUUUUUUGUGGUG